GUGUGGACCCGCAAAUUGACGAAGAUGAUUACCAAAGCAAUUCCCAUGCACCAGCUGCAAGACCCUCAGCCGGAGCAACUGGUGUAGAUACCACAUCCGAUGACCAACACUUUGUGGAUAAAUAUCAACUCCAGCUCACCGACAG